AUCCCUGGUUUAAUACUUCCUAGUUUAUUGACAAAAACAAUAACGUUUGACAAGGCAAGUUUCAUGUAUACAUAAAGAUUGUCAUGUAAGUGGCUGGCUUUUUAAAGGCAGCUAUGUGCUCUUUAGCCAUCUUCUAGAUCGUUGGAACGCGCUCAUUUUCGACAAGGAGAGGGUGUAUAUAAUAUAGAUAUUGAUGUGUUUAAACCAGUGGUGCCCACCGAAAUGUUGGCACGAAGAGUAAAUACCCCCUCCAAAAAAUAAAAAGGCUGACUUAUGUAUCUUUACCUAAAUAAAAGAUUGUUAAACUACGCCUAUAGAUUGGAGGAUCGAUAGGAAUAUUUACAAAAUAGCGACAAUAAAACGAGUCGGUAGUAAAGCUAGCUACAAUGUUGCUCUGUUUUAAGUAAAUUGCUUCAGAUAUCCAAAUCCUUAAUGUAAGUACUAGAUCCACGGGUUUCUAAUCAAUUAGUUACAAAUUCAGGUGAAUUUAAUUUUUUUUUUUUACCUUUUCAUUCAUGUGGCCCGCGACACGAGUGUCAGAAAUUAUAAUGGCCUGCAGGUCGAAUUAGGUUGGGCAUCACUGGUUUAAACAAUAACAAUAGAAACAUUGGUACCAAGAAAAGUGUCAGAGAAAAUGGAGUGUCAUAAGAUGUAUAUAAUUCUUAAUGUAUUCCAACAAUAAUUAUGAAUACAUUGGUACCAACAAAAUACUUCAGGUUUAAAUAACAUGACUUUUGGUCAAUCAAAGCAAAGGAAGUUUACUAUUCCAGUGUUUCAAUUUAAUUGCAUAUAUGCUACACAUCAUGUUGCGAUC